CCCAGACUCCUACGGGAGGCAGCAGUGGGGAAAAGGGGGCAAUGGGAGAAAGCCUGACAGAGCAACGCCGCGUGAAGGAAGAAGGCGUUCGGGUUGUAAAAGUCUGUUGACAGGGAAGAGAAGAAGACGGUACCUGUCGAAUAAGCCACGGCUAACUACGUGCCAGCAGCCGCGGUAAUACGUAGGUGGCAAGCGUUGUCCGGAUUUACUGGGUGUAAAGGGCGUGUAGCCGGGCUUACAAGUCAGAUGUGAAAUCCGGGGGCUCAACCCCCGAACUGCAUUUGAAACUGUAGGUCUUGAGUAUCGGAGAGGCAGGCGGAAUUCCUAGUGUAGCGGUGAAAUGCGUAGAUAUUAGGAGGAACACCAGUGGCGAAGGCGGCCUGCUGGACGACAACUGACGGUGAGGCGCGAAAGCGUGGGGAGCAAACAGGAUUAGAUACCCGAGUAA
rnacentral:rRNA from 1 species